AUUGAACGCUGGCGGCAGGCCUAACACAUGCAAGUCGAGCGGAUGAAGGGAGCUUGCUCCUGGAUUCAGCGGCGGACGGGUGAGUAAUGCCUAGGAAUCUGCCUGGUAGUGGGGGAUAACGUCCGGAAACGGGCGCUAAUACCGCAUACGUCCUGAGGGAGAAAGUGGGGGAUCUUCGGACCUCACGCUAUCAGAUGAGCCUAGGUCGGAGUAGCUAGUUGGUGGGGUAAAGGCCUACUAAGGCGACGAUCCGUAACUGGUCUGAGAGGAUGAUCAGUCACACUGGAACUGAGACACGGUCCAGACUCCUACGGGAGGCAGCAGUGGGGAAUAUUGGACAAUGGGCGAAAGCCUGAUCCAGCCAUGCCGCGUGUGUGAAGAAGGUCUUCGGAUUGUAAAGCACUUUAAGUUGGGAGGAAGGGCAGUAAGUUAAUACCUUGCUGUUUUGACGUUACCAACAGAAUAAGCACCGGCUAACUUCGUG
rnacentral:rRNA from 1 species